UGAUGGAUCUUGCAUUGAGUACUAUAUGCUUGGCAGUGCUAGCGUCAUUUUUUCCUCGAUAUAUUUCGGGGAAUGUGAAAAUGCCAUCUCCUCCAACCAUCAACGGAAAGCUAUUUGACGUGAACGAAAUGAUUCCCGAAGAUACACUUUUUGAAACUUGCCUCAAGUACUGCAUCUAUGCUUCGGCAGUUUUCCAGAUACUGUGUCUUGCGGCUUUGUUUUUGUUUCCAGAACCAAAAAAGGAUUUGGAGACAGAACCGCAGUUGUCGUGGAACCAUGAACCUCAGCGUAAUAGUAGUCAACAAAAAGAAUCCGAAAGAACUGAAGCGUCAUCAAGUCAGAAAGCGCAAACGUCGCAGACAUCAAGAGGCACUACACGGCGAAGAGACAGAAGGAAAUGAAGUUCCAUUGGGAAAUAUGAAAUCAUUUCUGCAGUUUAUGCAUUUAAAACUUGAAGCUAAUCUUGUAUUUGUACAUAUGUUUAUAAUUGUUAUUUUGAAUUUUGUGAGCAUACUAAUUUGAGUUUUUUUAUUGUUUCUGUAAAUGAGCUCUAACUAAGAAAUUUAAUUAAUGGAAAUAUAGAUUUUCAGUUUAA